AUUGCUUUAUUCAGGGGUGGGGGUUAACUGAGUUUAAUGUAUGUUCAUCAGCCGUGCACAGACAAAUCUCCAUAUGAUUCAUUGGAGCAGCACUGCAGAACACCUGGUGUUGCCAAUGCAGUUCUGUUAGUGUUUUGUUAUUUUUAAAGGGGAUUAUAUAACUCUCUAAUUAAAAUUAAAUGUGGGCUGAAAUGAUGCAGGCAAAUUCUCAAGCUUCAGAGUGAGCUUCUUCCUCACAGUUUAGCAGAAGAUAAACCUUUUUUAGGCAGAAGAGAAGGAAAAUUAAACCAAGAGGUUGUAACGUUGAAUUUAGGGUCUCUAAAAUUUUAAGUUUCCUGAUAAUUCUCUGUUUUUUUUCUAGAGGCCCUCAACCCCUCUGAUGCUGACCUGCAGCUUCCAGGGAGUGCAGGUGCAGGGUUUGAAUCUAAAAUUCACUCUGUAGCACAGCCAUCCUAUCAUCCACAGGUAGGACAGAGUGUGUUCAUUUUGAAGUCACACCUGGCCAUUGCAUUAACAAAUAACAACUCAUGUAGAGUCUGAAUUACCUCUCUUAGCUCUGUUGUGGAAACAGAUGUCGCCAAGUAUGACAAUUGCAAGGCACCACAUUGCUUUGUGAAUGGAUAAUAUUCAGAACAGGCAGCACUGAGGACACCUCCCAUGUUCAGGCAUAAGAUCUCUAAACCUAUGCAGCCUUUCAAAAGUCAUUACUUUCAUUAAACAUGCUAAGAAAUUACUCGUGUUACA